rnacentral:tRNA from 1 species
GUUGCUUUGGUUGAGUGGUUAAGGCAUGUGCUUGCUAAGUAGAUGGGGUUUCCUGUGAGAAUUCAAAUAUCUCAAGCGACA